rnacentral:tRNA from 1 species
GGUACAGCUCAGUUGGUAGAGUGCUUGCCUCGAAUGUAUAAGGCCAUGGGUUCAAUCCCCAGCACCA